UCUCCGAUGGUGAACCAGCGGAGGGAUCAUUACAGAGUUUUCACAACUCCCAACCCUUGCGAACCGUACCCAUUCUGUUCUCGUUGCUCCCGGCGGGGGCGACGGGGGGGCCCGAAACGGCCUCCCCGCCCCGCCCGCCGGGGGCGGCGGGCCCUAAGAACCUUUAUAUCUCAACUAACAGAAACCGUCUGAGAAAACAAAAAAAAUAAUCAAAACUUUCAACAACGGAUCUCUUGGCUCUG
rnacentral:misc_RNA from 1 species